rnacentral:sRNA from 1 species
GAGGAGGAGGCGGCGGCGUGGAGCUGCCUCCUGCCGGCGGGCCGGGCCGGGCCGAGCCCCGGGCGCUGCGGCGACGCCUGGAUCCUGCCUCCGCCAGGCCGGCUGCCCGGUGCCCCGAGGAGGCUGCUGAGCCCCAGGCCAUGGUCCCCUCUCGCAGGACGUGGAACCUGGGAGCCACGCCCUCGCUGCGGGGCCUGUGGAGAGUGGGCCGGGCCCCGGAGCCCGAGCCGGGGAUGGCUCGCCCCGCCCCAGCCCCAGCCAGCCCGGCCGCCCGCCCUUUCCCACACACCGGCCCGGGGAGGUUGAGAACUGGGCGUGGAAAAGAUACCCCAGUCUGCGGUGACGAGGACUCCAGUGCCCGAAGUGCAGCUCGCCCAGCCCUAGCUCAGUGCCGAGCUCUUAGUGUGGACUGGGCUGGCCCCGGAAGCCCCCACGGGCUCUACCUGACCCUGCAGGUGGGUGUCUCUUUGGCAGCAGGAGGUGCUCGAGCCUGUCGGGGCCACCAGGUGCGGCCCCCGUGGUGCAUAGGAUGGUGGAGGCCAUGUCCCAGCUCCAGGAGGAGAAGGCCCAGCUACAGGAGAAGCUGGUGGUCCUACAGGAGAGGCUGGCCCUCCGCGACAGUGACCAGCAGGCCACGUCCACCCAGCUGCAGAACCAGGUACCUGGGGAGGCUGGGAUGGGCAGAGGCCACUGCCCACUAUGGAGCAGGUCAGAAGACAUCACC